rnacentral:rRNA from 1 species
GGAAUCGCUAGUAAUCGCGAAUCAGAAUGUCGCGGUGAAUACGUUCCCGGGUCUUGUACACACCGCCCGUCACACCAUGGGAGUCGGUAACGCCCGAAGUCAGUGACCCAACCGUAAGGAGGGAGCUGCCGAAGGCGGGACUGGUAACUGGGGUGAAGUCGUAACAAGGUAGC